AUUGAACGCUGGCGGCAGGCCUAACACAUGCAAGUCGAGCGGAGCGGCUGCCGGGUGAGUAAUGCCUAGGAAUCUGCCUGGUAGUUGGGGAUAACGUCCGGAUACGGGCGCUAAUACCGCCUACUUUCACAUGCGCCUAGGUCGGAUUAGCUAGUUGGUGGGGUAAAGGCCUACCAAGGCGACGAUCCGUCACUGGUCUGAGAGGGUGAUCAGUCACACGGGAACUGAGACACGGUCCAGACUCCUACGGGAGGCAGCAGUGGGGAAUAUUGGACAAUGGGCGAAAGCCUGAUCCAGCCAUGCCGCGUGUGUGAAGAAGGUCUUCGGAUUGUAAAGCACUUUAAGUUGGGAGGCGUUACCAACAGAAUAAGCACCGGCUAACUUCGUGCCAGCCGCCGCGGUAAUUC
rnacentral:rRNA from 1 species